GGGUUGUGAGGUUAAGCGACUAAGCGUACACGGUGGAUGCCCUGGCAGUCAGAGGCGAUGAAGGGCGUGCUAAUCUGCGAUAAGCGCCGGUAAGGUGAUAUGAACCGUUAUAACCGGCGAUACCCGAAUGGGGAAACCCAGUGUGAUUCGUCACACUAUCAUUAACUGAAUCCAUAGGUUAAUGAGGCGAACCGGGGGAACUGAAACAUCUAAGUACCCCGAGGAAAAGAAAUCAACCGAGAUUCCCCCAGUAGCGGCGAGCGAACGGGGAGGAGCCCAGAGCCUGAAUCAGCAUGUGUGUUAGUGGAAGCGUCUGGAAAGGCGCGCGAUACAGGGUGACAGCCCCGUACACAAAAGCGCAUGUGCUGUGAGCUCGAUGAGUAGGGCGGGACACGUGGUAUCCUGUCUGAAUAUGGGGGGACCAUCCUCCAAGGCUAAAUACUCCUGACUGACCGAUAGUGAACCAGUACCGUGAGGGAAAGGCGAAAAGAACCCCGGCGAGGGGAGUGAAAAAGAACCUGAAACCGUGUACGUACAAGCAGUGGGAGCACCCUUCGGGGUGUGACUGCGUACCUUUUGUAUAAUGGGUCAGCGACUUAUAUUCUGUAGCAAGGUUAACCGAAUAGGGGAGCCGGAGGGAAACCGAGUCUUAACCGGGCGUUAAGUUGCAGGGUAUAGACCCGAAACCCGGUGAUCUAGCCAUGGGCAGGUUGAAGGUUGGGUAACACUAACUGGAGGACCGAACCGACUAAUGUUGAAAAAUUAGCGGAUGACCUGUGGCUGGGGGUGAAAGGCCAAUCAAACCGGGAGAUAGCUGGUUCUCCCCGAAAGCUAUUUAGGUAGCGCCUCGUGAAUUCAUCUCCGGGGGUAGAGCACUGUUUCGGCUAGGGGGCCAUCCCGGCUUACCAACCCGAUGCAAACUGCGAAUACCGGAGAAUGUUAUCACGGGAGACACACGGCGGGUGCUAACGUCCGUCGUGAAGAGGGAAACAACCCAGACCGCCAGCUAAGGUCCCAAAGUCAUGGUUAAGUGGGAAACGAUGUGGGAAGGCCCAGACAGCCAGGAUGUUGGCUUAGAAGCAGCCAUCAUUUAAAGAAAGCGUAAUAGCUCACUGGUCGAGUCGGCCUGCGCGGAAGAUGUAACGGGGCUAAACCAUGCACCGAAGCUGCGGCAGCGACACUGUGUGUUGUUGGGUAGGGGAGCGUUCUGUAAGCCUGUGAAGGUGGCCUGUGAGGGUU
rnacentral:rRNA from 1 species